ensembl:lincRNA
CUAGAGCAGGAAGCUGAAGACCGGGAGUAUGUGCAUGCUGAACUCAGCGAGGAAAUCAGGUCCUUAGAGAUGUCUCAGAGGCAUCUGGAAGCUACUCUCGCUCAUAAGGAUGAUAGAAUCAGGGUAAGUUACCAUGGCUAACCCAGCCUGUUCAUGAACACUCGGGAAACAAACUCACUGUGAGGAUGGAGAGGCUCUUAACUGCCUCUCACUUCUCUGCUAGGCUCUGACCAACUGCAUCAUACAGCUGAAUCAGUUUGAGAGUGGAUCUGAAUCUGAGGGUCCAGGUCCAGGCAGAUGUGAGCCAGGUGAAUUAGCCAAUGGAGAAGUGGGAGGUGAGGAGAGUAAGCUGAAGACUGGCAUGAACCAGCUGAUGGAUGUCUCUGGGACACAAGCCAAAAUAUCCGUGCUUCGGGAGGAACUCAAACUCCUGCAAGUUAAGCCGAAAGCCUCCCUGUCUGCUAACUAUGACCUGAAAGACCAGAUCAAGAAGCUGAAUGAGGACUGUGGCAUGCUGCAGGCAGCCAAGGCUGGGCUGGAGGAGGAGUGUAGGAUGCUGCAGCAGAAGGUGGAGAUCCUGAAGGAGCUGUACCAAGAGAACGAGAUGGAGCUGCAGAAGAAACUGAUUCAGGAGGAAUUGGAGCUGCAGGAGCGAGACCAGUGGCUGUCGGCUCCAGAUGAGAAGGUGGUGCUGGCCACAGAGGAAGUCAAAGUCUACAAGCAGAGAAUUCAUGAAAUCGAGCAAGAAUUAGAGAAAACAGAGCGCUCAUUUAAAAACCAGCUUGCUAUUCAUGAGGAGAAAGCCCACGAGAAUUUGGUCAAAGCCUGGCACACCGAGCGCCUAAUUGCAAAGGAGAAGCGGGAGGCCACCAGCCUGCGGCACAGGCUCCUGGAGAUGACCGAGAAGCUGGCCAUGAGUCAAGAGGAGCCAGUGAUUGGCAAGCCGAUGCCGGACCAGCCAGGAGUGCAGAAUGCGCCCCGCAGAGAUCCCGGUCCUGGGCCUGUGGCCAACAGUGACUCCCGCGGCUCCUCCCUGGCAAAGGGCAUGGACAACGGCAAGGUGAGCAUGGCUGCGAAGGGGCCCCCAGCCUAUCCAGGGCCCCUAUUCCUGGGAGGCCCCAUAUCGCACCCCGUGGACUAUGGGCCUCUGCUGCCACAAAGGCUAUGUGGGCCCUUCAGGCCUCAGCCGAUUCCUCCAUCGGGACCGCUGACAUUCGUCCCACGCAUGGGCCCACCACUUGGCUUAAGAGAAUACACGCUCGGCAUCCUGCCCAGACGCUGCGACUUGCCGGUGCACCCCCACGAGUUCUUGCCAGGACCUGUGCUAUUCAGGCCUCCAGGCCCGCUUGGCCCCCAAGAGUACUUCAUUCCUGCUCCUAGAAUGCCACCACCACCUGCCUGGCCCCAUAACUACCCACCACCGCAUGCCACAAGGGAGUCCCUGGUCUCGGAGCCCAAAGAAGCCCCAGCCUCACUGCAAAGCAGCCGGGAACCUGCCCACGCUCUGAGGCAGAGCACAUAAUACCCCACUAAUCAGAGGGCCAAGGUUUUUAUUGGUUUUGGAGGUCCAGUUCAUUUUAAAAGGUUUUUAUUACUAAACUGCCUUGAGUGGUGUACAUUUUUCAGCCAAACAAUACAGAAGUCUCAUCUUCCUCUCUAAAAUUGCCUCUUAAGCUAGAGUGACAUUCCAACUUUGAAACGUGCAAUAAUGAUCCCUGUGUUUUACUUAAUAUAGCAUAGGUAUGUGUAAAAUGAUUCAGAACAUUGUAAAAAUAAAUAUUUCCUCCGGAAAUAGUUUAAGAACACAUAUUUCUGACUCAGCCCACAGAUCAAUCUGGAUCCGGGUGAAGGAACAGGGAUUGACAGAUGCAGGGUAGGAGACAGAGAGACGGAGACAAGUCGAAGUUCGAUCAAGCCUCAUUUAUUGAUAAAGUGGUUACUGCUUUUAUAGGGCAGGGGCGGGUCAGUGGGACAGGGAGAGGCUAUGGGGUGAUCUCUGAUGGCUCAUCGUCUCAUCCGUGUAGUGAUGUAAGUAGGAGAGGAUUAUGAUUAAUAUAGGUGCAUUAUGUGCCCAUAUGAGGGAUGGCAGGGAGACAGCAGCGGGGCGGUCGCACCGCUCCCUACAUCUCCUCCCUUUCUAUUUUUCAAUCAGGAGUAUGGCAGGCCCUGUGAGGACAGCGCCUGUCUUAGGUCAAGGACCUCUUUACAUGAACCCAACUGGGCCUUACCCAUCAUGGGCUUGCAGGACAGCAGUUGGCCCUGUGCCCAUCUUAGGUGACCGGUGGUGUGGCGUGUAUGUCCUAGUUGCCCAUCUCUGGCUGUCUGUCCAUUGUCUUAGGGCGGUUAAGCGACAUCGUCAUAUGGGCCACUUGUGGGAAUUCUUUCCUGGUAGGUUUGUUGAUCUGCCAUCUCCAGCUGGUGAUCGUGUGCCUGAAUGGGCUUCGCCAUAAAUGCGUCUAUUCAGUUAUUAAAGAGCACCACAAUCCUCUGAAAAAUACAAGGACCCACAGAGAGGAGAAGCAACAAGGCAGCUAGGGGCCCAGGAAGGGCGCUAGGUAGGGAAAGAGCCCUCUCCAGAGUGUGGAGUAGGGGUUAGAGCCCAUUUGUUUUUGUUUUUUUUAAUUAAGGAGAAAAACAAAAAAAAGCAGAAAAAGGGUACAAGUUAUACAGAAUUUCAGAAAAAAAAUAUACAGUAGGAAACCACUAGUUAAUGGAUUACAUAUUGUCAUCUUAGAAAUAUUUGUUCAAGUUACAAAAUUAAAGCUUAUAUAGUGGACACUCAAACAGUGAGACCAAACAGUUCUGGUCAAUGAUCCAACAAAACUCAGUAAUAUCAUUGUCUAUCUUAUACACUUA